rnacentral:lncRNA from 10 species
GGGACUACAGGCACCCGCCACCACGCCUGGCUAAUUUUUUGUAUUUUUAGUAGAGACGGGGUUUCACCGUGUUAGCCAGGGUGGUCUCGAUCUCCUGACCUCGUGAUCUGCCCGCCUCAGCCUCCCAAAGUGCUGGGAUUACAGGCGUGAGCCACCGCACCCGGCCCUUGUUUGUUUUUUUAAGUAGAGACAAGGUCUCACUACAUUGCCCAGGUUGGUCUCAAACUCCUGAGCUCAAGCAGUCUUCCCACCUUGGCCUCCUAAAGUGUGGAAAUUAUAGCAUGAACCACUGUCAGGCUCUUUUGUCAGUCCUAUCAACCUCUAACAUCCUCGCACCAGACAGGACAGGUGUCUGUAUUGAAACUUUAUUACAAAAUUAUAAAGCAGAGCUCUGUAACAAAAUAAUACACAUUUGGGUUUGCUUUAACCUCCAAGUAAGUCUGAGAAAAUCUUAAUAAAAGCCACUUGAAGUAACAAUUCACAUCCAAGAGAUUUCCACAAAUUUAUACAAUGUAUAUUGAGCACUAGUUCCUGUACAGCUUAUUCUUAUUAGUUUGGAUCCAACUAUUCCAAUGUAUUAUGAACCAGUCAGCUAUCUGUCUUUUGAAACAAGUCUUAACUGAAAUCUCAGAGUAAUCAGCAAAAGCUACGGAAUAAUUCUAAGAAUUAGAUGUUUCCAUAUCAUUAAAACCAAGGAUCCAUGAGGGGCAGAAGGGAGGAUUCAAAGAUUUAAAAAAAAUCAAAUUUUAGACCUUGGUUAAAUAUUAACUGGAAUGGGAUCUUGGAACUCCCAACUUUAAUUUGGUGUAAUAAAAAUGAUGCAAAAAAAAAAAAAAUCAGGGUUGUUUGACACCUUUUUUCCUAAAGGGAAACCUUCACCAAAAGGGGAUAAAAGAUUUAAAGGCAAAAUGAGUAAACAACCUCAGUUUUAAUUCUUACUGAGGUUACUAACCAGCUAUCAGUAUAUUAUUUUCGAUUUGUGUCUAGGAGGGAAACUGAAGAGGAGGUAAGGCUUCAGCAGAGAAAGCAGGUUGUAAGUAGAGAGCCAGCUUCUGCCCUUAAGUUACUGCUAGAUCUUAGCUGAAUUGCACAUACAUAGACCUGUUUUACAGAGGAACUGAGUAGCUGAAUGAAUGAUCCUUUGCUAAUUGGUAGGCAUUGUAAACUAUAGUAUUUACUGCCCAUGACAAAAGUGGAAAGGGAUGUCUUCAUGAGCAAAUCUGAUUCCCCCAACUCCUGCAAAGGCUGUGGUUCAGAAUCAAAUCAUCCAGGACUUUGUAUAACAUUGAGGCACUGAAGAAACCGAUGCAAGCUCUCAGGACCGGAAGACAUGCACAGCUCGGAUUACAUACUGCCGGCAGAUGGGACAUUCAUUCAUGCGCUUGCCACACUUGGUACAGGUUACCAUGUGGCCACACUCCAGAAGAACACAGUCAA